rnacentral:misc_RNA from 1 species
GCUUUACCUGUUAUCAGAAGAAAAAUCUCAUCAACUCCAGUCACCGGCUGAUUAACUGAUGACGACGAUCCGUUUAGGGUGCAACAUCCGGGUCGGACUCUACCAUUCGGGUCACUUGCUGCUCAAUUGAUCAACUUCCAUGGCGAUUUUGUUAUUACAAAAAAAGGGCAAAAUACGUUGAAUUGAAUGAAGUAUUUAGGGUGAGAUGAAAGAGGGAAAUUG